rnacentral:tRNA from 1 species
GUCCCGGUAGCUCAGCUGGAUAGAGCAAUGGCCUCCUAAGCCAUAGGUCGGGGGUUCGAACCCCUCCCGGGACG